rnacentral:rRNA from 1 species
AGUGAACGCUGGCGGUAGGCCUAACACAUGCAAGUCGAACGGCAGCACAGUAAGAGCUUGCUCGUACGGGUGGCGAGUGGCGGACGGGUGAGGAAUACAUCGGAAUCUACUUUUUCGUGGGGGAUAACGUAGGGAAACUUACGCUAAUACCGCAUACGACCUACGGGUGAAAGCAGGGGAUCUUCGGACCUUGCGCGAUUGAAUGAGCCGAUGUCGGAUUAGCUAGUUGGCGGGGUAAAGGCCCACCAAGGCGACGAUCCGUAGCUGGUCUGAGAGGAUGAUCAGCCACACUGGGACUGAGACACGGGCCAGACUCCUACGGGAGGCAGCAGUGGGGAAUAUUGGACAAUGGGCGCAAGCCUGAUCCAGCCAUACCGCGUGGGUGAAGAAGGCCUUCGGGUUGUAAAGCCCUUUUGUUGGGAAAGAAAAGCAGCAGGUUAAUACCCCGCUGUUCUGACGGUACCCAAAGAAUAAGCACCGGCUAACUUCGUG